rnacentral:rRNA from 1 species
GACGAACGCUGGCGGCGUGCUUAACACAUGCAAGUCGAACGCUGAAGCUCAGCUUUUGUUGGGUGGAUGAGUGGCGAACGGGUGAGUAACACGUGAGUAACCUGCCCCCUUCUUUGGGAUAACGCCCGGAAACGGGUGCUAAUACUGGAUAUUCACUGGUCUUCGCAUGGGGGUUGGUGGAAAGGGUUUUUCUGGUGGGGGAUGGGCUCGCGGCCUAUCAGCUUGUUGGUGGGGUGAUGGCCUACCAAGGCUUUGACGGGUAGCCGGCCUGAGAGGGUGACCGGUCACAUUGGGACUGAGAUACGGCCCAGACUCCUACGGGAGGCAGCAGUAGGGAAUAUUGCACAAUGGGCGCAAGCCUGAUGCAGCGACGCCGCGUGAGGGAUGGAGGCCUUCGGGUUGUGAACCUCUUUCGCUCAUGGUCAAGCCGCAACAAUGGUUGUGGUGAGGGUAGUGGGUAAAGAAGCGCCGGCUAACUACGUG